rnacentral:rRNA from 1 species
UACGUAGGGUGCAAGCGUUGUCCGGAAUUAUUGGGCGUAAAGAGCUCGUAGGCGGCUUGUCGCGUCGGCUGUGAAAUCCCGUGGCUCAACUGCGGGCUUGCAGCCGAUACGGGCAGGCUAGAGUUCGGUAGGGGAGACUGGAAUUCCCGGUGUAGUGGUGGAAUGCGUAGAUAUCGGGGGGAAUACCAGUGGCGAAAGCGGCACCCUGGCGUCGUACUGACGCACAUGUGCGAAAGCGUGGGGAGCGAACGGG